rnacentral:rRNA from 1 species
AGACCCGAAACCCGGUGAUCUAGCCAUGGGCAGGUUGAAGGUUGGGUAACACUAACUGGAGGACCGAACCGACUAAUGUUGAAAAAUUAGCGGAUGACCUGUGGCUGGGGGUGAAAGGCCAAUCAAACCGGGAGAUAGCUGGUUCUCCCCGAAAGCUAUUUAGGUAGCGCCUCGUGAAUUCAUCUCCGGGGGUAGAGCACUGUUUCGGCUAGGGGGCCAUCCCGGCUUACCAACCCGAUGCAAACUGCGAAUACCGGAGAAUGUUAUCACGGGAGACACACGGCGGGUGCUAACGUCCGUCGUGAAGAGGGAAACAACCCAGACCGCCAGCUAAGGUCCCAAAGUCAUGGUUAAGUGGGAAACGAUGUGGGAAGGCCCAGACAGCCAGGAUGUUGGCUUAGAAGCAGCCAUCAUUUAAAGAAAGCGUAAUAGCUCACUGGUCGAGUCGGCCUGCGCGGAAGAUGUAACGGGGCUAAACCAUGCACCGAAGCUGCGGCAGCGAACGUAUCACCCAAGACAACUUUACGGAGUUGACGAUUGACGGAGCGAAGCGACGUCAAAGCGUUCAUUAAAGUCGAGUUGGCUUAGGGAUACGUUCGUUGGGUAGGGGAGCGUUCUGUAAGCCUGUGAAGGUGUGUCGUGAGGCAUGCUGGAGGUAUCAGAAGUGCGAAUGCUGACAUAAGUAACGAUAAAGCGGGUGAAAAGCCCGCUCGCCGGAAGACCAAGGGUUCCUGUCCAACGUUAAUCGGGGCAGGGUGAGUCGACCCCUAAGGCGAGGCCGAAAGGCGUAGUCGAUGGGAAACGGGUUAAUAUUCCCGUACUUGGUGUUACUGCGAAGGGGGGACGGAGAAGGCUAUGUUGGCCGGGCGACGGUUGUCCCGGUUUAAGCGUGUAGGUGUGUGUUCCAGGUAAAUCCGGUUCACUUUAACACUGAGGCGUGACGACGAGGCACUACGGUGCUGAAGCAACAAAUGCCCUGCUUCCAGGAAAAGCCUCUAAGCAUCAGGUAACACGAAAUCGUACCCCAAACCGACACAGGUGGUCAGGUAGAGAAUACCAAGGCGCUUGAGAGAACUCGGGUGAAGGAACUAGGCAAAAUGGUGCCGUAACUUCGGGAGAAGGCACGCUGACACGUAGGUGAAGUGAUUUACUCAUGGAGCUGAAGUCAGUCGAAGAUACCAGCUGGCUGCAACUGUUUAUUAAAAACACAGCACUGUGCAAACACGAAAGUGGACGUAUACGGUGUGACGCCUGCCCGGUGCCGGAAGGUUAAUUGAUGGGGUCAGCGCAAGCGAAGCUCCUGAUCGAAGCCCCGGUAAACGGCGGCCGUAACUAUAACGGUCCUAAGGUAGCGAAAUUCCUUGUCGGGUAAGUUCCGACCUGCACGAAUGGCGUAAUGAUGGCCAGGCUGUCUCCACCCGAGACUCAGUGAAAUUGAACUCGCUGUGAAGAUGCAGUGUACCCGCGGCAAGACGGAAAGACCCCGUGAACCUUUACUAUAGCUUGACACUGAACAUUGAGCCUUGAUGUGUAGGAUAGGUGGGAGGCUUUGAAGUGUGGACGCCAGUCUGCAUGGAGCCGACCUUGAAAUACCACCCUUUAAUGUUUGAUGUUCUAACGUGGACCCGUAAUCCGGGUUGCGGACAGUGUCUGGUGGGUAGUUUGACUGGGGCGGUCUCCUCCUAAAGAGUAACGGAGGAGCACGAAGGUUGGCUAAUCCUGGUCGGACAUCAGGAGGUUAGUGCAAUGGCAUAAGCCAGCUUGACUGCGAGCGUGACGGCGCGAGCAGGUGCGAAAGCAGGUCAUAGUGAUCCGGUGGUUCUGAAUGGAAGGGCCAUCGCUCAACGGAUAAAAGGUACUCCGGGGAUAACAGGCUGAUACCGCCCAAGAGUUCAUAUCGACGGCGGUGUUUGGCACCUCGAUGUCGGCUCAUCACAUCCUGGGGCUGAAGUAGGUCCCAAGGGUAUGGCUGUUCGCCAUUUAAAGUGGUACGCGAGCUGGGUUUAGAACGUCGUGAGACAGUUCGGUCCCUAUCUGCCGUGGGCGCUGGAGAACUGAGGGGGGCUGCUCCUAGUACGAGAGGACCGGAGUGGACGCAUCACUGGUGUUCGGGUUGUCAUGCCAAUGGCACUGCCCGGUAGCUAAAUGCGGAAGAGAUAAGUGCUGAAAGCAUCUAAGCACGAAACUUGCCCCGAGAUGAGUUCUCCCUGAGACUUAGAGUCUCCUGAAGGAACGUUGAAGACGACGACGUUGA